rnacentral:rRNA from 1 species
ACACGACUACAUUAGAUACCCCCGUAGUCCUAGCCGUAAACGAUACUCGCUAGGUGUCGGCCACGGUGCGACCGUUGUCGGUGCCGUAGGGAAGCCGUGAAGCGAGCCACCUGGGAAGUACGGCCGCAAGGCUGAAACUUAAGGAAUUGCGGGGGAGCACCACAACGGGUGGAGCCUGCGGUUUAAUUGGACUCAACGCCGGGAAGCUCACCGGAUAAGACAGCGGAAUGAUUGCCGGGCUGAAGACCCUGCAUGACCAGCUG